rnacentral:rRNA from 1 species
CCUACGGGUGGCAGCAGUAGGGAAUGUUGCGCAAUGGGCGAAAGCCUGACGCAGCAACGCCGCGUGAUCGAGACGCACUUAGGGGUGUAAAGAUCUGUCAGUGGGGACGAAACGUGACGGUACCCACAGAGGAAGCACCGGCUAACUCCGUGCCAGCAGCCGCGGUAAUACGGGGGGGGCAAGCGUUGUCCGGAAUCAUUGGGCGUAAAGAGUGCGUAGGCGGCACGUAAAGUCUGGUGUUAAAGGCAGAGGCUCAACUUCUGUACGGCACUGGAUACUUGCGAGCUAGACUGCGGUAGAGGUAACGGGACUUCCUGGUGUAGCGGUUAAAUGCUUAGAUAUCAGGAGGAACAUCGGUGGCGUACGCGCUUUACUGGGCCGUAAUUGACGCUGAGGAACGAAAGCCCGGGUAGCAAAUCGGAUUAGAUACCCGUGUAGUC